rnacentral:tRNA from 12 species
GACUCGGUGGUGUAGUUGGCUAUCACGUACGCCUCACACGCGUAAGGUCUCCGGUUCGAGCCCGGGCCGAGUCA